UGCAAGUCGAACGGUAGCACAGAGGAGCUUGCUCCUUGGGUGACGAGUGGCGGACGGGUGAGUAAUGUCUGGGAAACUGCCCGAUGGAGGGGGAUAACUACUGGAAACGGUAGCUAAUACCGCAUAACGUCGCAAGACCAAAGAGGGGGACCUUCGGGCCUCUUGCCAUCGGAUGUGCCCAGAUGGGAUUAGCUAGUAGGUGGGGUAACGGCUCACCUAGGCGACGAUCCCUAGCUGGUCUGAGAGGAUGACCAGCCACACUGGAACUGAGACACGGUCCAGACUCCUACGGGAGGCAGCAGUGGGGAAUAUUGCACAAUGGGCGCAAGCCUGAUGCAGCCAUGCCGCGUGUAUGAAGAAGGCCUUCGGGUUGUAAAGUACUUUCAGCGAGGAGGAAGGUGUUGUGGUUAAUAACCUCAGCAAUUGACGUUACUCGCAGAAGAAGCACCGGCUAACUCCGUGCCAGC
rnacentral:rRNA from 1 species